GCUCCAAUAACACAACUGGUUAGUGUAUCGGUCUUAUGAAAAUUGAAUUUUCAUGCAAGUGAGCCGAAAAUCCGAGUUCGAUCCUCGGUUGGAGCA
rnacentral:tRNA from 1 species